rnacentral:lncRNA from 10 species
CUGUCCUUGAAAUGAUUUCUGAAAAAAAGAAUGUGCCAUGUUUUCAGAAUAACAUACUUAUUUAAAUCACAUAUUUUAAGAACACCAUGCUUAUUCAAAUCAGAGUAACCCUAGCUCACCAAAUGAAACUUGCCUGCAUCCUCAAACCUUAGGUAAGGUUUUAAUCCUCAUCUUCCUACUCUUCAGAAGAAUGCCAAGAUAUAUUUGCAAACACAUUUUUCCUCUCCAUCUCAACACAUUUCACUGAGCCUUACAUAUACAUCCCCUAAGAGGUCCCCCAUUUUAUGGAUGCCACAUACACACAAAUAAUACUCUAUUCUCCCUCUAAACCACUUUUCGAUGAUUCCUUAUACACUGAGCAGUUGAUAUUAACUUCUGUUUUAUAGGAAAGAUAGAAUAGAAGCUACAAGAUCUGCAGUUAUGCUUCCUCUUACCCAAUUUACAGAUAAUAUAUGUUUGUGGCUGUGAUACACAGAAAAAUGGCAUCCAAGGAAAGUCCACCUCCUAAUCCUCAGAAGCUGUGAAUAUGUUACUUUAUAUGGCAAAAUGGACUCUGCAGAUGAGAUUAAGUUUCUGCCUGCCUGACAAUCACUCUGCUGAUGGCAACCAAAUAUUGUCUUCUUCCUGGAGUCUCAGGGAAAAUGUGGCCUGGGGCAGACCCUAGUUCUUCAGAUGGAAGGUGAAACUUCAAUACAUCACCGCAACAGGAAACAAUCUCAAGAAUUUGUAUUUACACAUCCUGGACAAAGAAAGUGUAAAUAAGUCUGGAAUGCAGUCAUCAGUUCCCAGGUCCUGGAAGGCAGGAGUCUGGAGUCAGGCAGAAAGAGAAAGCAGGCACAGUGACAACCAGCAGUACACUUAAGGAUUAGAGUGCAGAUUUUUCUAAGCUCCCAGGCCAAUGCCUGAAUACCUUUAAAGAAAGCAAUAGGAAAACAGAAGCCCAGUCUGCUAGGUGGAAAAGAUGCUUUUAUGAUCCUGCCUCUGGCCCCGGGCUUGAGCCAUUGGGGUAGAACUGGAAACUGUGUCAAGGGUGACUGAUUCCUGCUUCUAGUAUGAAAAAAUUAAACUUGCAUUUGAAACGGAUGCUGAAGCAACAUAAAAUUUUAAGAAUUCACUCAAUGUUAUAUUAGUCAAAACUCAAGAGGAAUAAUAACAAGGUGACUUUAGAGAAAAAUAAGGACAGAACAAUAAUUCUAAUUGGAGAGAAGGAAGAGGAGAGAAGGAGGUAAGUGAGCUUUGAGCAAAGUGAUGAUCAAUAAAGUGGACAUUGAACAUUAUUACUGUUAUGACUAUGACUACCACUAUAAGUAACAAAAAUAAUAGUUCUGGCAUUUAAUAAGCACAUAUUAUGCACCAAGAACUUUUCUAAAUGCAUAACAUUAAUUAACUCAGUUAUUCCAAAUUGUAAUUAUGCUUUCCCAGGGGAAGGGAGUUAUAAAUACAUUCCAGAGGAAUAAACAUCAUUAUUAAAAGACUUAAAGUGCCAGAUAUAUUAAAAGUGAGUUAAAGCAUGG